rnacentral:rRNA from 1 species
UACGUAGGCAGCGAGCGUUGUUCGGAGUUACUGGGCGUAAAGGGUGUGUAGGCGGUUGCUUAAGUUUGGGGUGAAAUCUCCCGGCUCAACUGGGAGGGUGCGCCGAAUACUGAAUGACUAGAGUGCGGGAGAGGAAAGUGGAAUUCCUGGUGUAGCGGUGAAAUGCGUAGAUAUCAGGAGGAACACCGGUGGUGUAGACGGCUUUCUGGACCGUAACUGACGCUGAGACAUGAAAGCGUGGGUAGCAAACAGG